AACGAACGCUGGCGGCAUGCCUAACACAUGCAAGUCGAACGAGACCUCCGGGUCUAGUGGCGCACGGGUUCGUCACGCGAGGGAACCUGCCCUUAGGUUUGGAAUAACUCUCCGAAAGGGAUGCUAUUACCGGAUAAUGUCUUCGGACCAAGGAUUUAUCGCAUUUGGUUGGGCACGAGUUGGAUUAGCUAGUUGGUAGGGUAAAAGGCUACUAAGGCGACGAUCCAUAGCUGGUCUGUGAGGAGGAUCAGCCACACUGCGACUUAGACACGGCCCAGACUCCUACGCGAUGCAGCAGAGGGGAAUAGUGGACAAUGGGCGGAAGCCUGAUGCUACUAUGCCGGGUAAGUGAUGUAGGCCUUGGGGUUGUAAUGCUCUUUUAACCGGGAUGAUAAUGACAGUACCUGGAGAGUAAGCUCCGGCUAACUCCGUG
rnacentral:rRNA from 1 species